CGCUGCCUACCUCGGCCCAGCUACUCACACAGCUCUUCCUCCAGGCUCCGGACUGUUCCUUCUGCAAUGUCUCAGGCGGCGACAGUGUCUGGUGCAUUCAGUAGGGGUCACACAAGGUCUGCCUCUGUAAGGGUCAGUGUGUCCCUCUGAUUCUGCUCCCUUCCAAUCCCUGACUGGCAUCACCUAUUAUUUAAGAGCUCUUCACUCACCGUUCCUUGCCUGAGCAAUAUUGUAGUUUCUGCAAGCGAAAAUGUUAUCUGCUGUGUUCCUGCAUUCCAGUUUGCUGACCUUCAUCUUGGCCAGGAACUGAUCACUUUGCUUCUGUUUAUCCUCUCUAGUGUAUGAUCUUGUACUUUUAGACUAAGCCUCACUCUUCCAGCAAGCUGUUUUAACAGCACCAGCUCUGCUAAAUCACCUGGCCUGCUGUUUCAAACUCCAUCUCCAGUGUCAGCUCGCUCUUCCCUGCCUGUAUCCCCAAUGCAUGGUUCUGCUCAGCUGCCACUUACCGGAAGCACUCUUGUGGCAGCGACCUGGUGUUCCCUGAAGUUAAAACAAACUUCCGCAUCCUGGAGCAAGAUAAAAGGUGAACACCAGGGGAACCCUUAGACUCUGCUCCCAAGUUUGGCCCUACACCUAACCGGAUUUAGGAAUCCUAUUGCUGGACCUUGAAGUGGGUGAAAAACAAGGAGUUUCUUUCAGCAAAUCACUGGGCUUGGAAUUCUUUUUUUGAGACCAGUGGAGUUCAAAUAUGGUGCGAUUCAUCCUGCGCAAUUCGCGCGACAUGUUCCUGUUCUCCUUGGCCAGCCUUUGGUUUUCUUUUACAACCUGCAGCACUCUCGGACGACAUAUGAGGACCACCAAGGCCUGUCUCACUCCGACCCUCCGGCAGUAGAUGUUUCCGGAACUCCUGCUCCCACUUCCUGAAUGCCUUUUUCUUUUUGAUUUUCCGCAGGAUGGAUGCUUUGCAGU